UGGCGGAAGAACAAAAGAAUUUGCCAAGAAUUCAAUAAAAUUCGUUUGAUCGAGGUAUUUCAGAGGCUCCAAAAUGAACCGGAGGGCUAGAAAAAGACCAAGAAAGCCGGGGGAGAGGCCCAAAGGCUGCUGCGUGGACCGGUGAGGAGUUUGCAAGCAAAACGAAGUCAUGUGUUAAUAGUUGACCAAUGGAAUUUUAUACCCCAUGUUAUUAAUAUUGCCUUUUGUUAUUUACUGUACUGGUGCGUUUCAAAGUCGAUAAUUAGCCGUGUGACGUCACUUAAAUACGCUGGCCCCACACUGCUUUUAACCUUCCUGCCUCAGUCACACCAAAAAACACACACACCAUUAUUAGACUUUCAAGAUGGCUGAACCUUCUUUGCCCUCAACGCAGUGGCUCUCCUAGCUCUCGGGUCCUCACGCUUGAGUACAGUUCUAAACCCACCCGGCAGUCCUGCAGGCAGUUACCCAUUCCCGGGUCUACCCGGCCACUUUGGCUAUAAACCUCCCGACUCUAGAAA